UUAAUGUUCUAUAUUAUUUUUAAACAAAUGAAUCUAAUAUUUUAAGACAAUAAAUAAAUAUUUAUUUUUAUAAUUAGCCCAGUUUUUCGUCGACGAAGCCAUCUUAAGAGAAGCUUCAUUGCAAAUAUCAGGCCGAUAUUUAACUAUAGCGGACAACAAACAAGAGUGGACACAUCGUGAGCUGUAGUUGUAGAAAGAGGAGAAAAUGGAAACUAAGGCGAACCACUGGCUCAUGCAGCUUUCAUUUCAGCAGAGGCUGUUCGUACGCAGGCAGAGGCCGCGCAUCUUUCAGCUGAGAUAUAUAAAAAAAUUCAAGGAAUUGACCAAUAUCGGCAAAAACCUUGUUUAAAAUAAUAA